UGCUGUGAUUCUACUUUCUUUUUCUCACUAGGUUCUUUUGCCCAGGGUGUGUGAACGCCUUCUCUUCUCUGUCCCAGGGUACUUGCUGGCUCUGGAAACAGAACCCUUGGCGUUGUUUCACAUUCUGGACGUUUGAAUUAACGCUGACGUGGGGGUUGAUAUGGGCGGCCCUUUUUUUCCCUGGUGACUUGCAUUUAGAGAGUUGGCGCUCCAUCCUUUCCAUCCACAGCACGCAGCACCCACUCAGCACCUCUUAGAAGAUGCGUCCGUAGUAUAUAGUAUGAUUUUUCGAAGGGGAUUUUGCUCAUAUUAAGGGUUGCUUUAGGGAUGUCCAGGAAGGGUCAGGUAAGGAAUCUUUCAAUCUGCUUUCUAAUUGGCUUAGUUUUCCCACUGUCUUCGCAAAAGGACAGGAAUUUCCAGGUUAGUUUGCAGCUUGUCUUUCAUCAAGCGAAAUGCUCAUGCUGUUGGGUAGAUGGUAAUAGAAACCUUUUGCUACCUUUAUUUAUCAAGAGUUGUGGAGCCGAGGAACCGUGUCUUGGGAGUUGUGCAGGAUUGAAACUCACAAAAAAGCCUGUUUGAAGAAGUUGUUACCUAUAUUUAUUCAAGGCAGUUCACAAGCCUUAUACUAACUUUGCGGGGUCUUUCAGUUGAGCUUACAUGACUGCGCUUGGCUUUGUGCCUUGGCAGCCAACAUUUGCCAUGCAGGAGGCUUCCCAGAAAGGUUCGGAUCCCUCUUCAAGUUUGAGAAGCCUGACUGAGACCAUUCUCAGCAUGGCAUGACCGUGAUCAGGAAGUGAGAAUCUGGAGUUACUGCUAAGGCAGCCUUGUGGGUGGAAAUGAGGGUUUGAGAUGCCAACCCUCCUGUGCCUCCCCACAACUUCCAACUGUUUCCAUUGCUCAUUUGACCAAGCCCUCUACUCAGAGAAUUGACCUCCCAGGAAAUGACAGUCAUCCCCAGGAUAGAAAUAGGCGUUUGUUAGCUGUGAUUUUCCUUUUAUAAGUGUGGGUGUAUGUUUUACUGUUUGGUUUUUCUUUUUAAAUAACAGGGCUUAGUGGUCACUCCCUUGCCUUUCUACUCAAGCAUUCCUGUUUUGUAUAUGAAAUUAGAGUUUAAAUUGCUCUUGUCCAUUGGGUUCUUUGAGGCAAUGGUUGUCUAUUCAGCACUGGAGCACUUGAUUCCCAGUUGAUGAACUUUAGCACAGUUAAGGUGGUUGAUCCCUUUGCUUUACUGUUCCUUAAGACUUUGUUAAAAAUUAUGGGCCAGGCGCGGUGGCUCAUGCCUGUAAUCCCAACACUUUGGGAGGCCCAGGCAGGUGGAUCUCGUUCAAAACCAACCGGGCCAAUAUGGUGAUGCCCGGUCUCUACUAAAAAUACAAAAAGGUGGGCGCGGUGGCUCACGUCUGUAAUCCCAGCACUUUGGGAGGCCGAGGCAGGCGGAUCACGAGGUCAGGAGAUCGAGACCAUCCUGGCUAACAUGAUGAAACUCUGUCUCUACUAAAAAUACAAAAAAUGAGCCAGGCGCGGUGGCGAGCACCUGUAGUCCCAGCUACUAGGCAGUCUGAGGCAGGAGAAUGGCGUGAGCCUGGGAGGAGGAGCUUGCAGUGAGCCUAGUUAGCGCCACUGCAGUCCAGCCUGGGUGAAAGAGCAAGACUCCAUCAC
rnacentral:lncRNA from 1 species